GGUUAGGGUUAGGGGUUAGGUUAGGGGAAUGAAUCCCGUCUCCCUCUAGGUUGACCCUACUUGGGUCUGCGGGGAGCGGGGAAUGCACGGGCCUUCGCCCACUGGACACGCUCCCCCGGCCCCCAUGGAUCACUAAUUUGUGUUUAAGGUUUGUAUUUGAUUUGGUUUUAGUGUGUUGUGUUACAUGAUUGUUGUUUCAUUAAUCUCUUUUUUUAGGUUUUUGAUUGUUUUUGGACACACAAACACACAAACAAGUAAACAAACAGGUACAUGAACUACACAUGAACUAUGUACAAUUAGUGUGCAUCGCGACAACGUUUCGACCUUAUUUGGUCUUCAUCAGGUCUAUGCACACAUAAUGGCUGCUGGGCCCCAAUUCAUAGGGGUCACCCAGCAAGCAGCCAAAAGAAAAUGAAAAUCCCUGUCCCCUUCUCCCUUUUAUACCCUUUGACAAAUAAUUAGACUGAAUUUUCUCGGAUAUUUUAGUUAAUUUUGUACUCUAUUUAGUUUCUAAAUCUUAACCCUUUAAUCGCUGCUUGGUUUUUAAUUCAAUAUGAUUUAUUUAUCAUUUACCUGUGUUUAGGCUUAGACUGACCUAGGGUUAGGGUUAGGGUCAGUGUUAGGGUUAGGGUUCAAAUCCGAGGCUAGGGUUAGGCUUAGGGUUAGGGCCACGGUUGGGGCUAGAUCAAGCGCUAGGGUUAGGGUUUAGGGCUAGCGCGACGGUUAGGGUUAGGGUCAGGGUUAGGGUUAGGGGUUAGGGGUUAGGGUUAGGGUUAGGGGGUUAGGGUUAGGGUUAGGGUUAGGGGUUAGGGUUAGGGUUAGGAUAUAGGGAUAUGUGCCACUUUUGACAUGCCGGUUCAUUGCCUUUCCCAUUGAUGAACCGGGCUGAGAUUUGGUCUACCCCCCCAUUUUCGGGUAUGCUGAAUCUAGAAAUAGUAAUGAACCAGCGAUCGGACAUUCCUAUCAAAAGUUAUGGCGAAGUGAAAAUUUCCCAUUGAAAAUGAAUGGGAGCGGAAAAUGGCCAAAGUCAGUGUUUGCAAGUGUUGUACUUGUGUGGAACUGUUGAAAAUGCAUUGUGAGCACGUUUCAGGCCAUUUCCUGUCAUUUGAGGGCGACUUUGCA